UGUGUGUUUGGGCCCUGGGUGCAGGGGUGGGAAUGAGGUGGUAUCACUACCCUGAGGCCCCCAGCCCUGGGUCAGAGGGGCGCCAAGGGCCCACACCCACACCGGGAGUGCCCAGAGCUAUCACCGGCUUCCCCAGCUUUUAGCUUCCAGGCCCAGGAUCUGCACUCGAUGAGCCGCCCCACCCAGGCCAGGGCCUGCACACCCCCCAGGUCUGCGCUGAUCACCAAAGGUUUUCACGGGGGACGCAGAUGGGCUCAGAAGGCUCUAGCAACAUGCCCAUGGCUAUGUGGUGACCACACUGUGGAAGGCACUUCUGGGGACACGCAUUUCCAGCAGCAUCAUCGGAGGGGAGGGGGGGAGGGCUGAUGGGUCAGCAGCUAAGAAUGUGCCCGUGGGUCCCGUCUGCAGGUGCUGCCUCACAGGAAUGCUCUCUGGUCUCUCACCUCCCUGGUCUCCACGAAGCUCCCUCGGGCUCUUCACCCAGACUCCACCAGCCUCCUGCUCGCUGGUUGCUAGCGCCCGGCCUGGGUACCCAUCACAGUGGGCAUGAUGCUGGCACCGGGCUGGGCAUGAGGCCGGGACCCAGCAGAGAAAGUGGUUUUAGAGGUGGAAGGGCCAUCAUCCAACUGAACCCAGGCGUCAGCUUCUGCUGGUGGGGGACCUGACACCCAGAUAGAGGGAAGUUCUGACCGGGCCUAGGAUGGGCCCGACACAAAGCUGGGGUGGCACCAGGGCCAGAAUCCCGGGGGUCCGAUCGCCAGCCCCACAUGUGGCACUGAGUCCCAAGGGGACAGAGCAGGUGGAGGGCAGGUGAGCACCUCCCAAGCCCCUCCACAUCUCCCUGAAUUUCCCACCAGGACGGAGACAGUCAGAUUGGUAUGACUGAUGAGCACCAAGACUGGCAGGAGGGAGACCUGGCCUGGUCCUGGCAGGAGGGAGGGGCAGGAGGGAGGGGGCAGGGGGCAAGGGAAGGGACUCAGUCUCCUGUUCCUGCCCAGGCUAUCCCUCUCAGCCUCAGAGGCCGGUGGCCGAGGCCCAGCCAGCCAGCCAGUCUUGCCAUGACCUCUGAUGUCAUUCUAGGCGUCCUCUUCUCAGCCUCCACUGUUCUGAGAUGCUGGCCUCUGAAUGAACGGAUGCUCAGGAGAUGUACAGUUGAAGGAGCGACAGACAUGGGACCAGGCCACCGGGAGGACGAACUGAGGUGCAGGGCGGGCGUGUGCAGAGCGGCCAUAAUGCCUCAGCAGCCUGCUUGGGUUUUCACCCAAAGCUGAGCCCGGGUCUGGCCCAAGCUGCUGCUCAGAACGUGUACAGGACGGAAGGAAAUCCCACACUAACCCCCAGUCCCCAUGACGCCUUCCCCCGGAGGGAAGCUUCAGGAUUAAAAUCUGAUGCCUUCGAACUCUACCCAUGGAAUAGUCACUUGGGUAAACUGCUGCUUUCCCUUUUUGCCUUGGCCGCCAGGGAGCUUUGAACCAAAGUUGUGAGCACCUCUCUGGCUCCACUUAGACUCAGCUCCUUGCCCUCGCCUUCCCUUCAUUUUUGGCCUCCGCUUUUAAUGACAUGCCCCAUGGCGUGCUCGUUGUACCCCUAAACCUUUUCUGGGCAAGGCCUGACUCCUUUCUUCGGGGUCCUCAGUCCCCACACCCUUUGGAUGCCCCCACCCCCGAGUGAUGUGGAAUUCUGCCCUUGGGAAAGCCUGGGAUGCUCAUGUCCUGGGCUUGGGUUCAAAGCCCUGGUCCCCUACUAGUCAGUGUGGUGCCGGGACCCCCUCCGCCCACACUUGCCCCGUCAGUGGGCGCUUGUAAGAUGCUGAGUAUGGAAGGAACACACAGGUAGAGGUUAAGCGGCAGCUGUCCACCUUGCUUCUAUAUCUUCUCCCGUUCCGAUUCUUGGUUCAUCUUUAGCCUGGCCCCUGGCCUCGCGAGUACAGCAGGCCCAAAGUGCCCCUUGCCCCCCAGGCUGAGCUGUCUCCUCUCAUUGGACGGGCCCCUCAGAUGGCACCCUAGCCCUCUGUCCCUAGGAGCUCACGGUCUGGCCAGGAGACGGGGCAAUGGGCAAAGUCGUGGGGGCCGAGAGCCCCGGGGGCAGGCGGGAACCAUCCGAAGAGGUUGCCUGCAGGAGGGUGCCCCGGAGGGGAGACCGUCAGCCACGAGGAGGCGGUGUUGGGACAGCAGGGGGGAAGGAGGCUGAGGAAAGAUCAGACCAGGUGGAUCGACAGCUCUUCUGAAGCCGAGGAGAUGAGAAGGUCCUUUUCGAACGUGUGCUACCGGG
ensembl:lncRNA